ACACAUCAUGCUGUUGACUGCCGUCGUCGCGUACACAGCGGGCACACAAGUCAACCACUUAAAUAUUGUGUGCGACUGAAGUAGGUCACAGGAUGCAGUUAAGAUCGCUCUUUGCCUGUUGUGAUUAUCGUACAGUACGGCACAAUCCUCCAUGAAUACGCGCUAGAGCGCUCCGCCAGCAACUGGACAGGCCUUUUCGGCUGCCAGAUAUUCCCACAGAUCGCCCUACAUUGCCACUGAUCGCCGUACAUUGCCGCGGAUUGCCG
rnacentral:lncRNA from 1 species